rnacentral:rRNA from 1 species
AAACUGGGAUUAGAUACCCCACUAUGCCUGGCUGUAAAUUACUAGCCAAAAAAGUACGAGCCCCCCUUGAAACUUAAAGGACCUGGCGGUACUCUAUAUCAACCUAGAGGGGCCUGUCCUAUAAUCGAUAAUCCACGAAAAACCUUACCACCCCUUGCCACCAGCCUAUAUACCACCGUCUUCAGCACAUUUCCCAAAAAAUGAAGCGAAAUAGUCCUACACACUAACACGUCAGGUCAAGGUGUAGCUUACGAGAUGGCAGAGACGGACCACAAUACCACAACACACGAAAACCCCGUUGAAACACGAGGAAAAAGACGAAUUUAGCAGUAAGUGGAACAGAAUGCCCCACUGAACCCCCCCCGCCCUAGAGUACGCACACACCGCCCGUCACCC